CUGGCGGCGUGCUUAACACAUGCAAGUCGAGCGUUUCACUUUUGCGGAUUUCUUCGGAUUGAAGCAAUUGUGACUGAGCGGCGGACGGGUGAGUAACGCGUGGGUAACCUGCCUCAUACAGGGGGAUAACAGUUGGAAACGGCUGCUAAUACCGCAUAAGCGCACAGUACCGCAUGGUACCGUGUGAAAAACUCCGGUGGUAUGAGAUGGACCCGCGUCUGAUUAGCUAGUUGGUGGGGUAACGGCCUACCAAGGCGACGAUCAGUAGCCGACCUGAGAGGGUGACCGGCCACAUUGGGACUGAGACACGGCCCAAACUCCUACGGGAGGCAGCAGUGGGGAAUAUUGCACAAUGGGGGAAACCCUGAUGCAGCGACGCCGCGUGAGCGAUGAAGUAUUUCGGUAUGUAAAGCUCUAUCAGCAGGGAAGAAAAUGACGGUACCUGACUAAGAAGCCCCGGCUAACUACGUGCCAGCAGCCGCGGUAAUACGUAGGGGGCAAGCGUUAUCCGGAUUUACUGGGUGUAAAGGGAGCGUAGACGGCAUGGCAAGCCAGAUGUGAAAGCCCGGGGCUCAACCCCGGGACUGCAUUUGGAACUGUCAGGCUAGAGUGUCGGAGAGGAAAGCGGAAUUCCUAGUGUAGCGGUGAAAUGCGUAGAUAUUAGGAGGAACACCAGUGGCGAAGGCGGCUUUCUGGACGAUGACUGACGUUGAGGCUCGAAAGCGUGGGGAGCAAACAGGAUUAGAUACCC
rnacentral:rRNA from 1 species